rnacentral:rRNA from 1 species
UUGGUUAAGUUAGAAAGGGCGCACGGUGGAUGCCUUGGCACUAGGAGCCGAAGAAGGACGGGACUAACACCGAUAUGCUUUGGGGAGCUGUACGUAAGCGUUGAUCCAGAGAUUUCCGAAUGGGGGAACCCACUAUCUUUAGUCGGAUAGUAUCCUUACGUGAAUACAUAGCGUGAGGAAGGCAGACCCAGGGAACUGAAACAUCUAAGUACCUGGAGGAAGAGAAAGAAAAAUCGAUUUCCUGAGUAGCGGCGAGCGAAACGGAAAGAGCCCAAACCAAGAAGCUUGCUUCUUGGGGUUGUAGGACACUCUAUACGGAGUUACAAAAGAAAGUUAUAAAUGAAGCGGUCUGGAAAGGCCCGCCAAAGACGGUAACAGCCCGGUAGUUGAAAUGGCUUUCCCUCCAGAGUGGAUCCUGAGUACGGCGGAACACGUGAAAUUCCGUCGGAAUCCGGGAGGACCAUCUCCCAAGGCUAAAUACUCCCUAGUGACCGAUAGUGAACCAGUACCGUGAGGGAAAGGUGAAAAGCACCCCGGAAGGGGAGUGAAACAGUUCCUGAAACCGUGUGCCUACAAGUAGUUAGAGCCCGUUAAUGGGUGAUAGCGUGCCUUUUGUAGAAUGAACCGGCGAGUUACGAUUUGUUGCAAGGUUAAGCGGAAAAAGCGGAGCCGUAGCGAAAGCGAGUCUGAAUAGGGCGCAUAAGUAACAGGUCGUAGACCCGAAACCAGGUGAUCUACCCAUGUCCAGGAUGAAGGUAAGGUAAUACUUACUGGAGGUCCGAACCCACGCACGUUGAAAAGUGCGGGGAUGAGGUGUGGGUAGCGGAGAAAUUCCAAUCGAACUUGGAGAUAGCUGGUUCUCUCCGAAAUAGCUUUAGGGCUAGCCUCGAGGUAAAGAGUCAUGGAGGUAGAGCACUGUUUGGACUAGGGGCCCUUCUCGGGUUACCGAAUUCAGAUAAACUCCGAAUGCCAUGUACUUAUACUCGGGAGUCAGACUGCGAGUGAUAAGAUCCGUAGUCGAAAGGGAAACAGCCCAGACCACCAGUUAAGGUCCCCAAAUAUAUGUUAAGUGGAAAAGGAUGUGGGGUUGCUUAGACAACCAGGAUGUUGGCUUAGAAGCAGCCACCAUUGAAAGAGUGCGUAAUAGCUCACUGGUCGAGUGACCCCGCGCCGAAAAUGUACCGGGGCUAAACAUAUUACCGAAACUGUGGAUGAACCUCUUUAGAGGUUCGUGGUAGGAGAGCGUUCUAAGGGCGGUGAAGUCAGACCGGAAGGACUGGUGGAGCGCUUAGAAGUGAGAAUGCCGGUAUGAGUAGCGAAAGAAGGGUGAGAAUCCCUUCCACCGAAUAUCUAAGGUUUCCUGAGGAAGGCUCGUCCGCUCAGGGUUAGUCGGGACCUAAGCCGAGGCCGAUAGGCGUAGGCGAUGGACAACAGGUAGAGAUUCCUGUACCAGUGCUAAUUGUUUAACCGAUGGGGUGACACAGAAGGAUAGGGAAUCGCACGAAUGGAAAUGUGCGUCCAAGCAGUGAGUGUGAGAAGUAGGCAAAUCCGCUUCUCGCGAAGCAUGAGCUGUGAUGGGGAAGGAAAUUAAGUACGGAAGUUCCUGAUUUCACGCUGUCAAGAAAAGCCUCUAGGAAGAGUAGUACUGCCCGUACCGCAAACCGACACAGGUAGAUGAGGAGAGAAUCCUAAGGUGAGCGAGAGAACUCUCGUUAAGGAACUCGGCAAAAUGACCCCGUAACUUCGGGAGAAGGGGUGCUCUAUUAGGGUGCAAGCCCGAGAGAGCCGCAGUGAAUAGGCCCAGGCGACUGUUUAGCAAAAACACAGGUCUCUGCAAAACCGUAAGGUGACGUAUAGGGGCUGACGCCUGCCCGGUGCUGGAAGGUUAAGAGGAGUGCUUAGCUUCGGCGAAGGUACGAAUUGAAGCCCCAGUAAACGGCGGCCGUAACUAUAACGGUCCUAAGGUAGCGAAAUUCCUUGUCGGGUAAGUUCCGACCCGCACGAAAGGCGCAACGAUCUGGGCACUGUCUCAACGAGAGACUCGGUGAAAUUAUAGUACCUGUGAAGAUGCAGGUUACCCGCGACAGGACGGAAAGACCCCGUGGAGCUUUACUGCAACCUGAUAUGGAAUGUUUGUACCGCUUGUACAGGAUAGGUAGGAGCCGAAGAGACGUGUGCGCUAGCAUACGAGGAGGCAAUGGUGGGAUACUACCCUGGCUGUAUGACCAUUCUAACCCGCCACGCUUAGCGCGUGGGGAGACAGUGUCAG